UACGGGGGGGGCAAGCGUUGUUCGGAAUUACUGGGCGUAAAGGGCUCGUAGGUGGCCAACUAAGUCAGACGUGAAAUCCCUCGGCUUAACCGGGGAACUGCAUCUGAUACUGGAUGGCUUGAGAUUGGGAGAGGGAUGCGGAAUUCCAGGUGUAGCGGUGAAAUGCGUAGAUAUCUGGAGGAACACCGGUGGCGAAGGCGGCGUUCUGGACUGUUACUGACACUGAGGAACGAAAGCCAGGGGAGCAAACGGG
rnacentral:rRNA from 1 species